UACGGAGGGUGCGAGCGUUAAUCGGAAUUACUGGGCGUAAAGCGUGCGCAGGCGGUUUGCUAAGACAGGUGGGAAAUCCCCGGGCUUAACCUGGGAACUGCGCUUGUUACUGGCAGGCUUGAGUGUGGCAGAGGGGGGUGGAAUUCCGCGUGUAGCAGUGAAAUGCGUAGAUAUGCGGAGGAACACCGAUGGCGAAGGCAAUCCCCUGGGCCUGCACUGACGCUCAUGCACGAAAGCGUGGGGAGCAAACAGG
rnacentral:rRNA from 1 species